rnacentral:lncRNA from 1 species
AUCCAAGUAAAACUUCUAUUCACUGCUUUUUGAUCAUUGUUGGGUUUUUGUAUCAGAAGAACUCUUUGGAGGACAAAAAGGCAAUAUUCCACUGCAACAAGUCUAUUAUUUGAAAUGUUUGUUUGUACCCGAGAGAAAACCUUUGUUUCUCAAUUUAGAGCAAUGAAACAUCCUGAAUGCUGGCAGUAAGAAUGGAAAGGACAUCUGUGCAUUGUGGCAACAAAGUCAUUACGAACAAUGGAGACCUGCAGAAGAUCUUCUAAGAAGGAUUAUUUGUGGUGACAGCAAUCUCCUGACAUUGACCCUAGCGCCUUCCCCUUGCAGGCACCAGCAUCUUACUUGCUUCCAUUGCAUCUUCCCUCCCCUGACAGCGUUUAAGCCCUUUUGAACAGCAGCCCAUGGAAGAGGAUGGGUGGGCGUAUGGAUUGUCUGGGUAAGUCGGGUAAGUCGUUUAUUGUGUAAUAAAUAAUUCAGCACAAAUCA